CGCGUAGGCGGCUUGGUCAGUCAGAUGUGAAAGCCCCGGGCUUAACCUGGGAACUGCAUUUGAUACUGCCAGGCUAGAGUAUGGUAGAGGGUAGUGGAAUUCCAGGUGUAGCGGUGAAAUGCGUAGAUAUCUGGAGGAACAUCAGUGGCGAAGGCGGCUACCUGGACCAAUACUGACGCUGAGGUGCGAAAGCGUGGGGAGCAAACA
rnacentral:rRNA from 1 species